UUAUUGGUUUACGAGCAUACUGAAGUUGGCAUUGAACGCCAUUAUUAAAGUGCAUUUAAAGCUUCAAACCGAAGCCCAGCAGCAAUCAAGCAAAUUCAUCACUAAAAUGGGUUCUUGAUUCUUGGCUAGCAGGUACUUUAGUUUUCUGGAAAGAAAAAGAAGAGAGAGAAAGAGUGGCUUCAAUUCAUUUCUCAGUGGGCAUCUUAGCUGAUUUUCCAUCUGCAUAUUGUAAUAAUUGCAGUCUAGGCAUCUCAAGACAAAACGCAAAUAGCCAACAAAGACCAGGCAAUGGUGUCCUCUAAUUCUCUGAGGUCGUCUUCCAAGAAAUCAGAUGGGAAAAAACCAACAAAAGAAACGGGGAAAGGAAAUUCAGUCUCGGACAAUAACAAGGAACGUGGAAGCAGGAAAAGGAAAAUUGAUAAAGUUCAGGAGAAACCGAAGCCAAGUAACAAAUCUGCGAAAACCUCUACAGGAAAGGCUUCGGCUACAAGUCAAAAAACGAAGGAGAAGGCAAACUUACGUCCAGAGAAGACCAAGCAGAAACUAGGUAGCACGAGCAAGAAACCCCCCCGGCUAAAAAGCCCCAAACGGCCCCUCCACUCUCGGGAAACAACUUCAGUUAAGGAAGUUAAAGAACCAAGCGCACGUAAAAUCAAAAUAAUGCAAGCUCUCGGUUUGGCUGCUCCCACCGGUUCCCCAUUCCAACAAAACCCGCGGAUCAGUUCUCUGAAACGAGUUAAGUAAGAUAUUUCGAGCUGCAGUGUCUAAAUUUUGUCUUCGAGCAUUCGCAACUAGAGAUGCUCUAGAUGCUGCAUAUAUGCCCAGGUAUAUAUCCAGAGUUUCCACCAUCCGGCAUUCUGACUAAUUUCCUUGUUAGAUUGUAGGCAACUCUUUUGGGUGAGACAAAUCUUAUAACGGGUUGAUUUAGGGCUCCAUAGUCACCUCUAUCCACAUGUGAAGAUGUGGAUCUUUGGAUGAAUUGAUUGUUAACGUGUUUUUAUGAGUUGGUUAGCCAUGAAUGGAGAAUAGUUGUGGUGGUUCGUAUGUAAGAUUAGCCCAAGAGA